CGUCUAUAUACGUAUAGCAUAUCAAUAAGCGGAGGAAAAGAAACUAACUAGGAUUCCCUCAGUAACGGCGAGUGAAGCGGGAAGAGCUCAAAUUUGAAAUCUUCAAGGUUUUACCUUGACGAAUUGUAGUUUAAAGAAGUGUUUUCUGUUGGAGUUUUUGUAAAAGUUCUUUGGAAAAGGACAUCAUAGGAGGGUGAGAAUCCCGUAUUUGACCAUUAUCUCCAGCUUUGUGAUACACUUUCAAAGAGUCGGAUUGUUUGGGAAUGCAGUCCAAAAUGGGUGGUAAAUUUCAUCUAAAGCUAAAUACUUGGCGAGAGACCGAUAGCGAACAAGUACCGUGAGGGAAAGAUGAAAAGAACUUUGAAAAGAGAGUUAAACAGUACGUGAAAUUGUCAAAAGGGAAGCGUUUGACACCAGUGUUGUUUUCUCGAAAAUCAAUUAAAAAAGGCUGGAUUUUGUGUUGUAUUGACUUUAUCAGCUUUCUGCACUCUUUUCUUGUCCUUUUUAAUGCACUUUUCGUUUAACAAGUCAACAUCAAUUUCUUUUGUUGUAAAAGGGUCAUUGGAAGGUGGCUUUCUUUUCGGAGAAAGUGGUUAUAGCCUUUGGCCUCUGCAAUCGGAGAGAUUGAGGUCUGCAGCGUAGAUCCUUCGGGGUUAGAUACAUUAGUGCUAAGUUAUAGCCUUUCAUAGACAACUUGUUGACUAUGAUCAGUCAUGUAGCUUACUCGCUUAUGUUAUUUUACCUACGCUUAGGAUGUUGAAGUCAUCGUAUCGCGC
rnacentral:rRNA from 1 species